GCAAGUCGAACGGUAACAUUGGAGCUUGCUCCAGAUGACGAGUGGCGCACGGGUGAGUAACGCGUACGCAAUCUGCCCCUUGCCGGGGAAAGUCACGGGAAACUGUGAAUAAUCCCGUAUAGUACUAUUUUUUCGCAUGGAGAGAUAGUCAAAGCUACGGCGGCAAGGGAUGAGCGUGCGUCCGAUUAGCUAGUUGGCGGGGUAACGGCCCACCAAGGCGACGAUCGGUAGGGGGCGUGAGAGCGUGACC
rnacentral:rRNA from 1 species